rnacentral:tRNA from 1 species
AUAUUCUACUUAAACUACUUCUUG